rnacentral:rRNA from 1 species
UAGGGAAUCUUCCACAAUGGACGCAAGUCUGAUGGAGCAACGCCGCGUGAGUGAAGAAGGUCUUCGGAUCGUAAAGCUCUGUUGUUGGUGAAGAAGGAUAGAGGCAGUAACUGGUCUUUAUUUGACGGUAAUCAACCAGAAAGUCACGGCUAACUACGUGCCAGCAGCCGCGGUAAUACGUAGGUGGCAAGCGUUGUCCGGAUUUAUUGGGCGUAAAGCGAGCGCAGGCGGAAUGAUAAGUCUGAUGUGAAAGCCCACGGCUCAACCGUGGAACUGCAUCGGAAACUGUCAUUCUUGAGUGCAGAAGAGGAGAGUGGAACUCCAUGUGUAGCGGUGGAAUGCGUAGAUAUAUGGAAGAACACCAGUGGCGAAGGCGGCUCUCUGGUCUGCAACUGACGCUGAGGCUCGAAAGCAUGGGUAGCGAACAGGAUUAGAUACCCUGGUAGUCCAUGCCGUAAACGAUGAGCGCUAGGUGUUGGGGACUUUCCGGUUCUCAGUGCCGCAGCAAGCGCAUUAAGCGCUCCGCCUGGGGAGUACGACCGCAAGGUUGAAAC